GAGGGUAUAGCUCAGUGGUAGAAUACAGUGCUUAGCAUGCAUGAGAUUCUGGGUUCAAUCCCCAGUACCUCCA
rnacentral:tRNA from 1 species